UACGUAGGGGGCUAGCGUUGUCCGGAAUCAUUGGGCGUAAAGCGCGCGUAGGCGGCCCGGUAAGUCCGUUGUGAAAGUCAAAGGCUCAACCUUUGAAAGCCGAUGGAUACUGCCGGGCUGGAGUCCGGAAGAGGCGAGUGGAAUUCCUGGUGUAGCGGUGGAAUGCGCAGAUAUCAGGAGGAACACCAAUAGCGAAGGCAGCUCGCUGGGACGGUACUGACGCUGAGGCGCGAAAGCAUGGGGAGCGAACAGG
rnacentral:rRNA from 1 species